ACCGAUAAUGGCAAACUCGUCGCGAGGCGAGGACGCAAAGUCAUGGGUCCCUAGAUGGAUCGCCAGACUGCCGAAG
rnacentral:ncRNA from 1 species